rnacentral:rRNA from 1 species
AUGAGAAGUGCACCGCGAGCAAGCCAUGGUCUAUUUCCAUGGAGGUGGCUAUAUAUGAUGUACCCAGCUUCAGGCCAGAGAUCAUUGCCAAAGUUUUCAUUAUCUACACCACGUUGGGCUAAAGGAAAUAUCGGAAAGCAACUACAAAUUACAUAUUAUGGAGUAUGCUCUUUGUUAUGGAACAACAGGCUCCCACUAUGCCAUAUUAAAAAUAGAGAUAUUUGCAUAUUUGAUGGGGGCUAUGGGCCUCAAAGGGUGAAUACAAAGGUUCUGAAAAAAGGAAUGCAAAGGAUCUUAGUGUAA